rnacentral:rRNA from 1 species
GAGUUUGAUCGUGGCUCAGAUUGAACGCUGGCGGCAUGCCUUACACAUGCAAGUCGAACGGCAGCACGGGAGCUUGCUCCUGGUGGCGAGUGGCGAACGGGUGAGUAAUGCAUCGGAACGUAUCCUGGAGUCGGGGGAUAACGUAGCGAAAGUUACGCUAAUACCGCAUAUUCUGUGAGCAGGAAAGCGGGGGGACCUUCGGGGCCUCGACGUCUCUUGGAGCGGCCGAUGUCGGAUUAGCUAGUUGGUGA